GUGCGCCUGUAAACAGUGAAUCUGCUGCCCCGCGGCCACGCGCGGUACUGCAUCACUGGUAAACAGGUGAGCACCAGGCGACCUCUGGACCUGCCCGUGGGCAUCAUGGGGAGGGUCUGCACCAGAGGAGCCUGGUCAGCUGGAACCUUCAGAACUGAUCCCAGGUCAGCACUCGGAUGGAGAACAUCAUAGUUCAGGUGUGACCACAUGCAGGUGAGUCCUCUGGAGAGAGCUCCUCAAAUAUCCACAGCGUAGUGAAGGUCACACAGGUCACUGCGUCUUUAAGAGAGUUUCCUCUAUGAGACAUGGGGAGAGUCUCGGUGUAACUUGAGCUCUGCUUUUAUUUCUAUUUCUAUUUUCAGCUCAGAGACGAACUCAAUGUCCACUGAGUAUGAGAGAGAAGUCAGAGCACAAGGAACUUUAACUUAGUGUUGGUUCUGUCGCCCCCUGUGGACUAAAGUGGUAGUGUUGGUUCUGUCGCCCCCCUGUGGACUAAAGUGGUAGAGUUGGUUAUGUCGCCCCCUGUGGACUAAAGUGGUAGUGUUGGUUCUGUCGCCCCCUGUGGACUAAAGUGGUAGUGUUGGUUCUGGUGCCCCCUGUGGUCUAAAGUGGUAGUGUUGGUUCUGGUGCACCUUAUGAGGAACCAGGAGCUCCUUGAUAGAAACGUCUACUCUUCGGGCUGCUGAUGUUCUGGUGUUGUUGUACUUGUGGUUGUUUUUAGGAUGAAAUCUUUGUGAUUGUAUGUAAAUGAUAUUCAUACUUUCUCGUGGUCUGAUGUGGUUUAUCGUCUUCAUGUCUGCAGUUCGUUGCUGCUGCAGUCUUCUGGCUACGCUGAUGAAUCAUGUGACUAAUGCACCGAGGGUCCUGAUGGGCUCCACUGAAGCACUAACUCUGCCCCGAGACCGGUCCCGGUGCUGCAAAAUGGAAUCUGCCCCCCCCCCCCCCUCCCGUAACCCUCCUCCUCCUCCUCCUCCUCCUUGCAGAACCCAACAGGAGCUAAAUGUGGCCUCCAUGUGUUGUGGCCUCUGCUGACCGGAGACUCGAUUCUCUGGCUCUGCAUCCUCUCUGGUUCUCCAUGUGGGACCCAGCCGGGUCCGCUUUGGUUCCCCCUAACCCACCAGUACACAGCUCUUGGAGUAUAAAUAAAGGACUGAGGCUCCGGCUUCCCCAAAGCAAUCAGAGUUAUUGAUUGAGGUGUGGAACCGGUUUGAUCCAAUGAGCUAAUAAAUGUUAAUAAAGACAUAUUAUGAGCAUUAA